GACGAACGCUGGCGGCGUGCUUAACACAUGCAAGUCGAACGGAAAGGCCCUGCUUUUGCGGGGUGCUCGAGAGGCGAACGGGUGAGUAACACGUGAGUAAACCGCACUUGACUUUGGGAUAAAUUCAGGAAACUGGGGAUAAUACCGGAGAGGAGAUCCUGCUGCACGGGGGGGGAUGGAAAGUUUCGGCGGUUGGGGAUGGACUAGAGGCUUAUCAGCUUGUUGGUGGGGUAGUGGAGUACCAAGGCUAUGACGGGUAGCCGGCCUUGGAGGGUGACCGGCCACAUGGGGACUACGGUAGGGCCCAGACUCCUACGGGAGGCAGCAGUGGGGAAUAUUGCACAACGGGCGGACGCCUGAUGCGGCAACGCCGCGUGCGGGAUGACGGCCUUCGGGUUGUAAACCGCUUUCGCCGUUGACGAAGCGUGAGUGACGGUAAUGAGUAAAGAAGCACCGGCUAACUACGUG
rnacentral:rRNA from 1 species